CUCAUUCCGCUCUGGUGCCAUGAGCGGGAUCAUGCUUGAUAUGGAUGGGUGGACGCUGCUUGCAUGGUGCAAAAAUCGGAAGGGAGGUGAAGGCUGUGCAGAGGUGCAUUUCAUACCCAUACCAUUAUGCGGUUAGGGAUAGCACACAGAACCGUACAAGGGGGAACUGGGCACAAUUACAAUA
rnacentral:sRNA from 12 species